rnacentral:rRNA from 1 species
UACAGAGGUCUCAAGCGUUGUUCGGAUUCAUUGGGCGUAAAGGGUGCGUAGGUGGCGCCGUAAGUCAGGUGUGAAAUUUCGGAGCUUAACUCCGAAACUGCAUUUGAUACUGCGGUGCUUGAGGACUGGAGAGGAGACUGGAAUUUACGGUGUAGCAGUGAAAUGCGUAGAUAUCGUAAGGAAGACCAGUGGCGAAGGCGGGUCUCUGGACAGUUCCUGACGCUGAGGCACGAAGGCCAGGGGAGCAAACGGG